rnacentral:rRNA from 1 species
UACGGGGGGGGCAAGCGUUGUUCGGAAUUACUGGGCGUAAAGGGCUCGUAGGCGGCCAACUAAGUCAGACAUGAAAUCCCUCGGCUUAACCGGGGAACUGCGUCUGAUACUGGAUGGCUUGAGUUCGGGAGAGGGAUGCGGAAUUCCAGGUGUAGCGGUGAAAUGCGUAGAUAUCGCUUGGAACGCCAAAGGUGAAGACAGGUUGCUGGAGAUAUGCCGACACUGAGACGCGAAAGCCAGGGGAGCAAACGGG